UGGCGGCGCUGUUAACAGCUGCGGCUCGCCUGCAGUCCGUCUGUCUUUACUUUUUUCUGUUGUUUUUUUUGUCUUGUUUUGGUUAAGUUUUAGUUUGUUGGGUUGUGUUAGAGGGGAUGGAAACUAAGACUUUGCCUCCAUCACAGUGAGGAUGUGCUUGGUGAACUUACUGUGGUGGAUGUUUAAUUGGUGUUUAUUGUAUGUUUUGUUAUUAUUGAUUCUGUGUAUGACUGCAGGCAACAUAGUUUCGUUCAGACCGUAAGGUCUGAAUGACAAUAAAGGAUCUAUCUA